rnacentral:rRNA from 1 species
CCCCCCCCCCUUCUUUUAUUUCCCCCUCUCUUGGGAACUGGGGAGGUCUUAAUUAUAAAAUUGGCUGGUUUUGGUGGCUUUUUUCCGGGGGGCAGGACCUUUUUUUUUUCACACACCCCCUUCCUUUGGGCCGAGCUUUUUUUUUUUUUGGAGGGGAAUGGGCCCCCUUCCCUUUUAUUUUCCCAUGAAAAUCUAAUUAUUAAAACCUGAUGUAAAUGGAUUCUCCACAUCUUAAAUACAAAGUUUCACCAACAUAUCUGUUGCUCUCGCAUCGAGCAGCACCGCAGCGAAAUGCGAUAAGUAAUGUGAAUUGCAGAAUUCAGUGAAUCAUCGAAUCUUUGAACGCACCUUGCGCUCCUUGGUAUUCCUUGGAGCAUGCCUGUUUGAGUAUCAUGAAAUUAUCAAAGCAAAGUCUUUUUUUUUGUUGUUGUUAAUUCAACUUAAAGUCUGCGCUUUGGAUUUGGAGGUUUUGCAGAUUUAAAUUUCUGCUCCUCUUAAAUGCAUUAGCUGGAUCUCUAUGAACUUGGUUCCACUCGGCGUGAUAAGUUAUCACUCGUCGAGGACACCCGUAAAAAAGGUGGCCAGGAUUUUUCAAGGAUGAGCCGCUUCUAAAUAGUCCAUUGACUUGGACAAAAUUUAUGAUCUGAUCUCAAAUCAGGUAGGACUUUCCCGCUGAAUCUUAA